rnacentral:rRNA from 1 species
GAUGAACGCUGGCGGCGUGCCUAAUACAUGCAAGUCGAGCGAACGGACGAGAAGCUUGUUUCUCUGAUGUUUGCGGAGGACGGGUGAGUCACACGUGGAUAACCUACCUAUCAGACUGGGAUAACCUCGGGAAACCGGAGCUAAUACCGGAUAAUAUUUUGCACCGCAUGGUUCAAAAGUGAAAGACGGUCUUGCUGGCACUUAUAGAUGGAUCCGCGCUGCAUUAGCUAGUUGGUAAGGUAACGGCUUACCAAGGCAACGAUGCAUAGACGACCGGUGAGGGUGAUCGGCCACACGAGAGCGUGAACAGGGUCCAGGCUACUGCGGUAGGCACCAGAAUGGAAUCGUCCGCAGUAGUCGAGAGCCUUGCGAAACAGCGGGACGUGAGUUGUAGAGAUCUUCGGAGCGUAAAACUCUGUUAUUAGUGAAAAACAGAUGUGGAAGGAACUGAACACAUCUUGACGGUACCGAAUCAAAAAGCAACGGCUAACUACGUG